rnacentral:rRNA from 1 species
GCGGCAUGCCUUACACAUGCAAGUCGAACGGCAGCACGGGGGCGACCCUGGUGGCGAGUGGCGAACGGGUGAGUAAUACAUCGGAACGUAUCCUUAAGUGGGGGAUAACGCAUCGAAAGAUGUGCUAAUACCGCAUGGGCUCUGAGGAGCAAAGCAGGGGCUCGCAAGACCUCGCGCGAUUGGAGCGGCCGAUAUCAGAUUAGGUAGUUGGUGGGGUAAAAGCCCACCAAGCCGACGAUCUGUAGCUGGUCUGAGAGGACGACCAGCCACACUGGGACUGAGACACGGCCCAGACUCCUACGGGAGGCAGCAGUGGGGAAUUUUGGACAAUGGGCGCAAGCCUGAUCCAGCAAUGCCGCGUGCAGGACGAAGGCCUUCGGGUUGUAAACUGCUUUUGUACGGAGCGAAACGGUCUGGGUUAAUACCCUGGGCUNAUGACGGACCCGUAAGAAUAA